rnacentral:rRNA from 1 species
GAUGAACGCUAGCGGCAGGCCUAAUACAUGCAAGUCGGACGGGAUCCAUCGGAGAGCUUGCUCGAAGAUGGUGAGAGUGGCGCACGGGUGCGUAACGCGUGAGCAACCUACCUCUAUCAGGGGGAUAGCCUCUCGAAAGAGAGAUUAACACCGCAUAAUAUAAUCUUCCGGCAUCGUUAGAUUAUUAAAUAUUUAUAGGAUAGAGAUGGGCUCGCGUGACAUUAGCUAGUUGGUAAGGUAACGGCUUACCAAGGCGACGAUGUCUAGGGGCUCUGAGAGGAGAAUCCCCCAUACUGGUACUGAGACACGGACCAGACUCCUACGGGAGGCAGCAGUAAGGAAUAUUGGUCAAUGGGCGGAAGCCUGAACCAGCCAUGCCGCGUGCAGGACGACUGCCCUAUGGGUUGUAAACUGCUUUUGUCCAGGAAUAAACCUAAAUACGUGUAUUUAGCUGAAUGUACUGGAAGAAUAAGGAUCGGCUAACUCCGUGCCAGCCGCCGCGGUAAAAC